AGAGUUUGAUCCUGGGUUCAGGAUGAACGUUAGCGGCAGGUUUAACACAUGCAAGUCGAGGGGCAGCAUGUCCAGCAAUGGAUGAUGGCGACCGGCGGAAGGGUGCGUAACGCGUGAGCAACAUGCCCUAUACAGGGAGAUACACCAGGGAAACUUGGUCUAAUAUCCCAUAGCAUUCAUUGAAGGCAUCUUUAAUGAAUUAAAGCUUCGGUGGUAUAGGAUUGGCUCGCGUGACAUUAGCCAGAUGGUGAGGUAACGGCUCACCAUAGCAAUGAUGUCUAGGGGUUUUGAGAGGAAGGCCCCCCACACUGGGACUGAGACACGGCCCAGACUCCUACGGGAGGCAGCAGUGAGGAAUAUUGGACAAUGGAUGGAAAUCUGAUCCAGCCAUGCCGCGUGCAGGAAGACGGCCUUAUGGGUUGUAAACUGCUUUUAUACGGGAGCAAUAAGGGUUACGAGUAAUCCGAUGAGAGUACUGUAUGAAUAAGGAUCGGCUAACUCCGUGCCAGCAGCCGCGGUAAUACGGAGGAUCCGAGCGUUAUCCGGAAUUAUUGGGUUUAAAGGGUGCGUAGGCGGCCAUUUAAGUCAGCGGUGAAAUUUUGCAGCUUAACUGUAACAGUGCCGUUGAUACUGUUUGGCUAGGAUUUGGUUGUAGUGUGCGGAAUGUGUGGUGUAGCGGUGAAAUGCUUAGAUAUCACACAGAACACCGAUUGCGAAGGCAGCACACUAAGUCAUUAUUGACGCUGAGGCACGAAAGUGUGGGGAUCAAACAGGAUUAGAUACCCUGGUAGUCCACACUG
rnacentral:rRNA from 1 species